AAGUCGUAACAAGGUUUCCGUAGGUGAACCUGCGGAAGGAUCAUUAUAGUGAAAAGCUAUAGACUUGGUGUCUAAGGAUGAAACCAUAAAGGUUAAUCCUACACCGCCCAACCUUGUCAAUAAAUUUAACGUUACCUCGGUAGGUUAGCCUGCCGGUGGACAAUUUAAAACCCUUUUUAAACAUACUUAUAAAUACACUUGUCUGAUAAUUUUUAUAAUAAAAUUAAAACUUUCAACAACGGAUCUCUUGGUUCUG
rnacentral:misc_RNA from 1 species